GCGCUAAGGUGGAGUAAGGCGAACAUCGCUGCCCGGAAAGCAGAAGAUGCGGGUUCAAGUCCCGCAUGGCGCA
rfam:Heligmosomoides polygyrus genome assembly, scaffold: HPBE_scaffold0000833